rnacentral:rRNA from 1 species
GUUGAACGCUGGCGGCGUGCCUAAUACAUGCAAGUCGAGCGAAUGUACGAGGAGAUUUCCCCCCUAACGUUAGCGGGGGUUGGGUGAGUAAUAAGAGAAUAUCCUACCUUUGAGAAUGGGGUACUUUAGGGGAAUCGGCGCAAAUAACGGCUGAUACAUUGAACCGCGUGGAUCAAAUGUGCCUGCCGGAUCUGCUGCACCUUAUUGGUGGAUACGCGCCGCAUUAGCUAGUUGGUAAGGUAACGGCCUACCAAGGCUACGAUGCGUAGCCGGCCUGAGAGGAUGAUCGGCCACACUGGAACUGAGACACGGUCCAGACUCCUACGGGAGGCAGCAGUAGGGAAUAUUCGGCAAUGGGCGAAAGCUUGACGGAGCAACGCCGCGUGAGUGAUGAAGGUCUUCGGAUCGUAAAGCUCUGUUAUUAGGGAAGAACAAAUGUAUGAGUAACUAUGGACGUCUUGACGGUACCUAAUCAGAAAGCCACGGCUAACUACGUG